CCCUUAGAUGUUCUGGGCCGCACGCGCGCUACAAUGAUGAAUUCAACGAGUUUAUAACCUUGGUUGAAAAGCCUGGGUAAUCUUUUGAACUUUCGUCGUGAUGGGGCUAGACCCUUGUAAUUAUUGGUCUCCAACGAGGAAUUCCUAGUAAACGCAAGUCAUCAGCUUGCAUUGAUUACGUCCCUGCCCUUUGUACACACCGCCCGUCGCACCUACCGAUUGAAUGGUCCGGUGAAAUCUUCGGAUUGAGACUUUGAUUUCUUCACGGAAAACGCUGUUUUAAAAAGUUGAUUAAACCUUACCAUUUAGAGGAAGGUGAAGUCGUAACA
rnacentral:rRNA from 1 species